UUGGAGGGCAAGUCUGGUGCCAGCAGCCGCGGUAAUUCCAGCUCCAAUAGCGUAUAUUAAAGUUGUUGCAGUUAAAAAGCUCGUAGUUGAAUUUCGGGGUUAGUAGGUUGGUCAUGCCUCUGGUAUGUACUGGUCUCACUGAUUCCUCCUUCCUGAUGAACCGUAAUGCCAUUAAUUUGGUGUUGCGGGGAAUUUGGACUGUUACUUUGAAAAAAUUAGAGUGUUUAAAGCAGGCUAACGCUUGAAUACAUUAGCAUGGAAUAAUGAAAUAGGACGUUCGAUCCUAUUUUGUUGGUUUCUAGGAUUGACGUAAUGAUUAAUAGGGAUAGUUGGGGGCAUUAGUAUUCAAUUGUCAGAGGUGAAAUUCUUGGAUUUAUUGAAGACUAACUACUGCGAAAGCAUUUGCCAAGGAUGUUUUCAUUAAUCAAGAACGAAAGUUAGGGGAUCGAAGACGAUCAGAUACCGUCGUAGUCUUAACCAUAAACUAUGCCGACUAGGGAUCGGAUGAUGUUAAUUUUUUAAUGACUCAUUCGGCGCCUUACGGGAAAC
rnacentral:rRNA from 2 species